GGUGGCUCAGUGGUAGAGCCCUGCCUUGCAUGCACGAGGCCCUGGGUUCAAUUCCUCAGCACCA
rnacentral:tRNA from 1 species